rnacentral:rRNA from 1 species
GAUGAACGCUAGCUACAGGCUUAACACAUGCAAGUCGAGGGGAAACGGCAUCGAAAGCUUGCUUUUGAUGGGCGUCGACCGGCGCACGGGUGAGUAACGCGUAUCCAACCUGCCCAUCACUUGGGAAUAACCUUGCGAAAGUAAGACUAAUGCCCAAUGACAUCCCACGAAGGCAUCCGAAUGGGAUUAAAGAUUUAUCGGUGAUGGAUGGGGAUGCGUCUGAUUAGCUUGUUGGCGGGGUGACGGCCCACCAAGGCAACGAUCAGUAGGGGUUCUGAGAGGAAGGUCCCCCACAUCGGAACUGAGACACGGUCCAAACUCCUACGGGAGGCAGCAGUGAGGAAUAUUGGUCAAUGGGCGAGAGCCUGAACCAGCCAAGUAGCGUUCAGGAUGACGGCCCUAUGGGUUGUAAACUGCUUUUAUAAGGGAAUAAAGUGGGUCACGUGUGACUUUUUGCAUGUACCUUAUGAAUAAGGACCGGCUAAUUCCGUG